rnacentral:lncRNA from 1 species
AUUAUUUAUAUGCCGUCAUAAAAAUUUUAUCCCGGAUUUGUUUAACCAUAUCCUCAACUGUCAACUCUUAAAAUAAAGUUACGAAUAACGGUAUCAAUAUCAUCAUAUUUGUAUAUCAUUCUAUAAUUAUUUUUCUUAUUCAGCUUGUGCGCAAAGAUAUCCCUUAUCAUCUGCGAUUCUCGCUGCCCAUCGAAGAACUUAAUGAUCAAAUCUCUAUACAGGUUGUGUUUCUGUUAGAAUUUUCAUAUAUUGUGGCCCAAUUAAUCAUAUUCAAAUAUGGAUUUACUAUAGAUAAAGGUCAAUCCUAACAGAUAUAGAACUACUUGAUAUGGUAUAUUUUUAUCCAUAUCCCAUCUAAUUUAAAUUUAAAUAGAAUCCUAAUCAGACUUUGAUGGGAAGUCGAUCUGGACUCUAUAUAAAGGGGUAUUGGUCUUGCCACCUUCUCAUACGCAUUCUGGUGAAGAAUUACCAUCGGUUCCACAUCAUACGGUAAAGUGCACGAGAAAGGAGGAGAAACUAAAUCACCCAAGUUCGGUUUGUAAUUUUUAGAUUAUAGCCGGACUUCACGCUUCUGCAAGAUUAAUUAAGAAUUUCUUCUCUAUGGUGCUCUCUGAGUUAUUUUAUUUUAUUAUGAUCCUGAAUUCUUGGUAUGUAUUUAUUUUUUAUUUAUUUUACAUACCUUGAAAUUCUAUCAAUUGGUAUCAUAGCUAGGUUGAUAAAUUAAAUAUUGUAUGUAAUAAGUAUCAGGAUCAAACAUUAUGUGAAUUUAGAAUUUUAUGCAAUAUGAUAAAAAGGUUUUAUAACUUUGAAUCUGCAUGUUAGAUUAUGAUCUCCCAAUUGAAUGUCAUAUUAACGGGCUACAACUAAUUUUCAGAUAAAGGGUACAUAAAUCGUCGUUUUCUCUUUUAUGACUAAAGUUUUUGGCUAAUCCCUGUAGCCUUUGGUCUUGUCAUGUUAUAUGGCUCUAAUUAAAAGAAAUAAUAAUUUAAUUUACUUUAAAAUAGUGCUUCCGGAUAAUUUUUAUGUUAAUCACGCAGCACUAAGUCAGAUUAAUUUAUUGCUUCAACUGUUCGGGUGCAAGCCAAGGCGGCCCCGACCGGAAGAAACGAUAAAUUAAUUGCUUUAAAGAUGUGCAUGCAGAAAUUGCACCAUAAUAUUAUGUUUAGUCUGCUCCCAAAGGAAGUCUAGACAUGAAGAUACAUGGGUGGUGUAGGAUGAUAAUUUUCUUAUAACUCGUUUGAAGAAAUUUGCCUGGCCAAAGCUGACGAUUUUUUCAUAUGAAAAAUUUGAAAUUACUACGACCUGCAGAAAGUUUAAAUUAGUCUCUGAUAAAGAAAUUGCAUAUUUAUGCUCAUAACUCUGCUCCCAAAGGAGGGGUUGUGAUGUCAUAUAAAGUAUAUGCAUAAGGAAUGAUAGCAUAUUUAUGCUCAUAACUCUGCUCCCAAAGGAGGGGUUGUGAUGUCAUAUAAAGUAUAUGCAUAAGGAAUGAUAGCAUAUUUAUGCUCAUAACUCUGCUCCCAAAGGAGGGGUUGUGAUGUCAUAUAAAGUAUAUGCAUAAAUAACGAAAAAUACUUAUGCUUAUAACUCUGCUCUCAAAGGAGGGGUUGUGAUGUCAUAUAAAGUGUAUUUUUCUAAUUUUGGUAUGGUAAUUUAUGAUGUAGUAUUUUAUUGAUAAAGCAUGCAUUUUAUGACUCCAUUUUCUGUUCCUAUUGGUGAAUCUAUUCCUAUACUUAAUGGUUCUUCUUAUUCGUAGUGAAAAGAACAGAUUAUUCUUACAUUAGGGUGUAUGAAUUUAGAGUUGGCUCUGCGCGCUGAACAACCGCCUAAGGUAGUGGGGCCAAUGACUCCACAGCAGAAAUCCGCGCAGAAAAAGUGGGAGCGAUCCAACCGCUUAAGUUUGAUCUUCAUAAAGUCAAGGGUAUCAAAAAGCAUAAGGGGAUCAAUCCCAAAAUGUGAUAAAGCCAAGGAUUAUCUAAAGGCCAUUGAGGAGCAAUUUGUUAGCUUUGAUAAAGCCUUGGCAAGCACCUUAAUGAAUAAACUGUCUUCCAUGAAGUACUCCGGAAAUGGGUCGAUUCGCAAGCAUAUUAUGGAAAUGCAAGAUAUUGCAACGCGACUCACCACACUUGAUGUAACCAUCUCUAAUUCAUUCUUAGUGCACUUUAUUUUGAACUCUUUGUCAUCUAAAUACAGACCAUUUUAGAUCUCUUAUAACACACAUAAAGAUAAAUGGUCAAUUAAUGAAUUGCUGACCAUGUGUGUGCAAGAGGAAGGCAGAUUAAUACAAGAGAAACAAAAUGCAGUCAACUUUGUUUCUCAAAAGAGACAAAUAAAGCGUGCUAAGAAUGGCAAAGGCAAGAAUGACUCAAAAAGAAAGAACAAGGAAGGAAGUUCCAUUUGGUUCACAAGGCCAAUCAAGUAAUAAGACUCGCAAGUGCUUCUUUUGUAAGAAAAAGGGUCAUAUGAAGAAAGACUGCCAAAAGCAUCAGAAAUGGCUCCAGAAGAAGGGUAAGUUUCUGGUUUUUAUGCAUGAGUUGCAUUUAGUUACUGUUCCAUCUAAUACUUAGUGGAUUGACUCUGGUGCCACAUGCCACGUGGCGAAUUCUGUGCAGGGAUUUCAGAAUCGCAGAAAAUUCAAUAAAAAUGAAGCGAUUAUCUAUACAGCUGAAGUAAAUCCAACUAAAGUAGAAUUUGUAGGAACAUUUUGAUUAGUUCUUUCUACUGGUCACAUUUUGGAUUUAGUUGAUACAUUUUAUGUUCCAAAUUUUUCUAAGAAUUUAAUUUCUAUUUCGAAACUUGUUGGAUUGGGAUAUAGUUUUAGUUUUAAUAAUAAAGUUUUUUCUUUAUCCUAUAAAUCUCAGAUAGUUGGCUUUGGUGUUUUGAAAAAUAAUCUAUAUAAAGUAUUUCUAGAUGAUUCAUAUAGUGAAAUCCUUCUUACCAUGCACGAAAAUAUUGGAUCAAAACGUGGCAUUAAUAAUGAAAGGUCAUCCAUGUUGUGGCAUAAGAGGUUAUGACACAUCUCAAAACAGAGAAUCUAAAGAUUAAUUAGAGAAAGCAUAUUAGAUGAUUUGGACUUUUCUAACUUUGGAAUGUGUGUGGACUGCAUAAAGGGAAAGCAGACCAAAACCUCUUCUAAAGGUGCUAAAAGAUGUGAUGGAACAUUAGAGUUGAUUUAUACAGAUAUAUGCAGACCUCUUCCUAUUUCAAUUACUGGCCAUAAAUAUUUUAUCACAUUUACUGAUGACUACUCUCGAUAUGACUAUCUCUACUUGCUUAAAGAAAAAUUUGAAGAAUUAAAUGCCUUUAAGGUAUAUAAGGCUGAAGUAGAGAAUCAACUCGAGAAAAGGAUAAAAGUAGUCAGAUCAGAUAGGGGUGGUGAAUAUUUUGGUAGACAAACUGAUAAAGGCCAAAUCUCUGGACCUUUUGCUAAGUUUCUGGAGUAGUGCGGAAUUGUUCCAUAAUACACCAUGCCAGGGACACCUGAUCAGAAUGGUGUUGCUGAAAGAAGGAAUCGCACAUUAAUUGAUAUGCUCAGGAGUAUGAUCAGUAAUUCUACCCUUCCGAUAUUAUUGUGGAGUGAGGGACUCAAAACUGCCAUAUAUAUUCUUAAUCGUGUCCCUACUAAGGCUGUCACUAAGACUUCUUUUAAGUUUUGGACAUAUAGGAAACCCAGUUUAAGACUUUUUCAUAUAUGGGGUUGUCAAGCUAAGGCCAAAUUAUAUGAUCCACAAAUAAAGAAAUUGGACACUCGAACCAUAUCAGGAUAUUUUAUUGGUUAUUCAGAAAGGUCCAAAGGGUAUAAAUUUUACUGUCCAUCACUUCCUAUAAAGAUUGCAGAAACUAAAACAGCGCGGUUUAUUGAGGAUGGUGCAAUUAGUGGGAGCUUUGAACCUCGGUUCAUUGAAUUUGAGAAAAUUCAAGAGCAUACGGAUUCUGUACAUGACAGACCAACUAUUGUCCCUCUCGAUUUGAUGGUUCAUAUUCCAGUAGAACAACAAAUCGUUUUGGAACCACAAAAUCAUUGUGAACCUAUCAUUGAUAAUUCACAUCAAAUGUACAAGUGAAUAAUCCAUAUCAAGAUGUACAUGUGGAUAAUCAGAUAGAUUUAAGAAGAUCCUCAAGACAGAGAAGACCGGCUAUAUUCAGUGAUUAUAUGUCUAUUUUUAUGAGAAUGAUCAGAGUUUAGAUGAUCCUCUUAAUUUUUCCGAAGCCAUAAAUAGUAAUAAUUCUAUGGAAUGAUACAAUGCCAUGAAGGAUGAGAUUGAAUUCAUGAACCACAAUAAGAUAUGGGAUCUUGUUGAGUUACCUAUUAGAGUUAAACCUGUAGGAUGCAAAUAGGUUUAUAAAAUCAAAUGGGACUCCAAAGGUAGCAUAGAGAGAUACAAGGCCCGUCUUGUGGCAAAAGGGUUUACUCAGAAAGAAUGCAUUGACUAUAAAGAGACUUUCUCUCCAGUAUCUAGAAAGGAAUCUUUCCGUAUUAUUAUGGCUCUGGUUGCUCAUUUUGAUCUCGAGCUACAUCAGAUGGAUGUAAAAACUAUUUUAAAUGGGGAUCUCUAUAAAGAGAUGUUUAUGAAUCAAUCUGAAGGAUUCUCGCAAAAGGAAAAGGAGCACUUGGUAUGCAAAUUAAAGAAAUCAAUAUAUGGACUAAAGCAGGCCUCCCGACAAUGGUAUUUAAAAUUUAAACAAACUAUUUUGACCUUUGGUUUUAAGAAAAACAUUGUUGAUCAAUGUAUUUAUCUAAAGGUUAGUGGGAGUAAAAUAAUUUGUCCUUUAUGUUGAUGAUAUUUUGCUUGUCAGUAAUGAUCUUGGGCUAUUGCAUAACACUAAAGAAUUUCUUUUUCAAAAAUUUUGAAAUGCAUGAUUGUAGUAAGCCCAAUGUUGCUCCUGUCCAGAAAGGGGAUAAGCUUAAUACUUUUUAGUGUCCCAAGAACAAAUUGAACAGAUGAAAAGCAUACCUUAUGCCUCUGCAGUUGGUAGUCAUAUGUAUGCACGGACGUACACACGUCCGGAUAUUGCUUUUGUCAUUGGCAGGUAUUAAAGUAAUCCAAGCAUUGAGCAUUGGAAGGCUGCUAAAAGGAUUAUGAGGUAUUUGAAAGGAACUUUGGAUCAUAUUGCAUGUUACGAGAUCACAUUACAGGCUAUUUGGCUUAGAAAUUUUAUCACAGACUUAAGAAUUGUGGACUCCGGUGUUUAUCCAAUAAAGAUUUUCUGUGAUAAGUCAGCUGUGGUUUCCUUUGCCAAUAACAACAAGAGUAUAGCAGUGUGUAAAUAUUUGGACACCAAAUAUCAUGUUGUGAGAGAGAAGAUAGAUGAAGGUUAUGUUACAAUUGAAUACAUCAGUACCAAGUGUAUGAUUGCAAACCCAAUGACCAAGGGGCUGGCACCUGGGUCAUAUACAGAUCAUGUUUCAAGUAUGUGUUUGAUUAGUUCUUUUGAUGUAUAAAUUUGUAACAUAUAUCUUUUCAAUAAAGUUUAAUGCAGCUGUGUUGGACCAUUUAAUAGACAUAAAGUUUUGCCUAUUAACGAAUAAAUAUACAGUUUAAGUUCAUUCAUAAAGUUAUACCAUAUAAAGUACUCGACUAGGAGGUGAAAAUAAUAUGGUAAUUAUGGAAGAAAAAUUUUGUUAUGAAGAGGUGGACCGCCAUAGUUCUUAUCAUUGUAGUCUUUUAGUUUGAGCUAAAGAUCAAGUGAGUUCUAAGGUAUUUGACCAUAAAGUUUUCAAUAAUGCGCAAUAAAGAUUAGAGUAUAGAAAAUCCGUUCAUAGAAUAUAAUUAAUAUGAGACAAGUGAGAGAUUGUUAGGAUUUUCAUAUAUUGUGGCCCAAUUAAUCAUAUUCAAAUAUGGAUUUACUAUAGAUAAAGGUUAAUCCUAACAGAUAUAGAACUACUUGAUAUGGUAUAUUUUUAUCCCUAUCCCAUCUAAUUUAAAUUUAAUCCUAAUUAGACUUUGAUGGGAAGUCGAUCUGGACUCUAUAUAAAGGAGUAUUGGUCAUGCCACCUUCUCAUACGCAUUCUGGUAAAGAAUUACCAUCGGUUCCACACCAUACGGUAGAGUGCACGAGAAAGGAGGAGAAACCAAAUCAUCCAAGUUCGGUUCGUGAUUUUUAGAUUAUAGCCGGACUUCACGCUUCCGCAAGAUUGAUUAAGAAUUUCUUCUCUAUGGCGCUCUAUGAGUUAUUUUAUUUUAUUAUGAUCCUGAAUUCUUGGUAUGUAUUUAUUUUCUAUUUAUUUUACAUACCUUGAAAUUCUAUCAGUUUCAACUUCACUUUAUAGUCUUCUUUAGGAUUGCGUUUGAUACCUAUGCAUGCGAUAUACAUAAAAAUCAAUUUCUCAGUCACUAUACUUCACCUCUAAUCUCACUAUACUUCUUUGAACUUUUAUAGUUUUUUUUUUUACUUUUUACAACUAGACACACUAUAUUAAAUUUGUCAUCGU